rnacentral:rRNA from 1 species
UGGGGAAUAUUGGACAAUGGGGGGAACCCUGAUCCAGCCAUGCCGCGUGUGUGAAGAAGGCCUUAUGGUUGUAAAGCACUUUAAGCAGUGAAGAAUACAUCAUGGCUAAUAUCCGUGAUGAAUGACAUUAGCUGCAGAAUAAGCACCUGCUAACUCUGUGCCAGCAGCCGCGGUAAUACAGAGGGUGCGAGCGUUAAUCGGAAUUACUGGGCGUAAAGCGAGCGUAGGUGGUUUAUUAAGUCAGAUGUGAAAUCCCUGGGCUUAACCUAGGAACUGCAUCUGAUACUGACAAACUAGAGUAGGUGAGAGGAAAGUAGAAUUCCAGGUGUAGCGGUGAAAUGCGUAGAGAUCUGGAGGAAUACCGAUGGCGAAGGCAGCUUUCUGGCAUCAUACUGACACUGAGGUUCGAAAGCGUGGGUAGCAAACAGGAUUAGAUACCCUGGUAGUCCACGCCGUAAACGAUGUCUACCAGUCGUUGGGUCUUUUAAAGACUUAGUGACGCAGUUAACGCGAUAAGUAGACCGCCUGGGGAGUACGGCCGCAAGGUUA